GCUGGUCCCACGGAGAUGCUUCAGGAGGAAGAACUUCAGUUGAGAAAUCAAUCUGCGUGUGCCUUCGUUUCUUUCCUCAUGUUACUGAUGGAGCCUGUCAGCCCCUGCCUCACUGUUCCAGCCUCUGUGACUGGAGCUCCCCAAGGGAAACUGGCUGUCAUGUUGCCAGUCACCCUAUGGAAAGACUCAUAUGGCAAGGAAGUGGUGUCCCCCACCAGUAGCCAGCGAGGACUGGAAGCCUGACCACAGCCUGCACGUGAGCUUGGAGACACAAUCUCUCCCAGUCAGGUCUUGAGGUAACUGCUCCACUGACAUCUUGAUCCCAGCCUUAUGACUGAUCCUGAGACAAAGCACCCAGAAAAGUACUCCCAGAUCCCUGACCCCCAAAAACUUUGAGAUGAUAAAUGUGAGCUGUUUUAAGCUAU